UUACUCUGGCUUCCCUUCAAAUCACGCAUAAAUCUUUCGCCUUUCACUAAAGAUUUCCGUAGAGGGGAGCACUUGAUGAGUCUAAAGUGACAAUUUUUUGUAGUAUCUACUUACUGUAUGUUU